rnacentral:rRNA from 1 species
UACGUAGGUGGCGAGCGUUGUCCGGAAUGACUGGGCGUAAAGGGAGCGUAGGUUGCGAUUUAAGUUAGAUGUGAAAGCCCGUGGCUCAACCACGGAAGUGCAUUUAAAACUGGAUUGCUAGAGUACAGGAGGGGUAAGCGGAAUUCCUAGUGUAGCGGUGAAAUGCGUAGAUAUUAGGAAGAACACCGGAGGCGAAGGCGGCUUACUGGACUGCAACUGACACUGAGGCUCGAAAGCGUGGGGAGCAAACAGGAUUAGAUACCCCGGUAGU